AGGAAAGGCAACAGUGUCAACAUCUCUGUCACUGCUGGUUCUGUGAUCCUGGAGGGAGAAGAUGUGACGCUGCUCUGCAGAAACAAGAUGAUUUCCUCCAAUAUUGCAGCUGAUUUCUAUAAAUAUGGGCAUCACAUAGGGAACAGCUCAACAGGAAACAUGACCAUCCACAGAGUUUACAAGUCUGAUUAAGAACUUUACACGUGCAAGAUCUCAGGAGGUGGAGAAUCACCAGAGAGCUGGCUGUCUGUCUCUCUGCCAUGUGUCACAGUGAUGAUCAUCAUGAUUUUGCUGGGUGUACAGGAUAAGGACGUUGAGUCUGCCGGAGAGGACCCGGAAACGACCGUGAGAAGCUUCAUUAAAAUCCACCUGAAGCUGCCGGAGGACACGGUGAAAAACAGGGUUUGAAAGAGUGCAUCGCAUCGGGGCUCCGAAGACAGGAAGCGGGAGACCGCGUCCUAUUGUGGCCAAAUUCGGCCACUUUAAGCAGAAGGAGCAGGUGAAGAGUCGCGGCAGAGAGCUGAAAGGAACGGACUUCAGCGUGAACGACCAGUUCCCCAGAGAGAUCCUGGAACGACGCAGGGUCCUGUUCCCAGUCCGACGUAGUUUUAUUCAGAAAGGCUCCGGGCUGUCAUCGCCAUGGACCGGCUCUACGUGGACGGACAGCUCUACCGCGACCCCGCAUCACUCCAUGGCUGUAUUGACCGCACACCAGAUAAGAAUCCGCUGCGCUAUUCUCUUCACUCACACUCUCUUGUAUUAACUUUUGCUUAACUAUGUAAUAUCAGUUUGCUAAUUUAGUAUAACGUCACCGUCACUCUCCGCCAAUGCUUUAAUUGGAAUGUUUCCGUUCUUAUUUCUUUUUCC
ensembl:lncRNA